GGCUGGUCCGAAGGUAGUGAGUUAUCUCAAUUGAUUGUUCACAGUCAGUUACAGAUUGAACUCCUUGUUCUACACUUUCCCCCCUUCUCACUACUGCACUUGACUAGUCUUUU
ensembl:misc_RNA Y_RNA Y RNA